AUUUGAAUAGGAUUGACAGGGAAUAUGGAGAUGGAUUUUGUUUAUUUUUUUCCCGAUAAGGGGUUGUUUUGAAGGCAAGGACCUUCAUGACACUGGAUGUGCCAUGAAGACGCUGCAUGCCAGAUUAGUGUAUAAUUCCAUUUGUAGAAUAAUGAAUUCACAAAGUUUCCUGAUAUCUGAGGGGUGUGCAUGAGAAGUUCAUAUAAAAUGAACUAAAAAAUAAAAAAUAUGUUUUUACUUGUUUCUUCUUUCCCCUUGAUUUUGUUUAUGGAUCAGGUUCAUUCCACCUCCAACUUUGACCCCUGUGGUGACUGUGAAAAAUGAGUACAUCGAGCAGAUGAAAUGAUUAAACCAGAGCCAGUGGGAGAUUGUCAUCAGACCAGAGUUGCCAUGACGACAAAGUGGGAUGGUGUGGUGAAUGUCACCUUUGCUGUCUAAGCUCUCAUGUCUGGAGCUCAGAUUUGAACUGUUUUGUUAAACCAAGGUUACACGGGAUUCGAACUGGAGCUCCUAGCCUCUCAAGUACAUCUCCGUACUCCAUGAACUACCAACCAAACCUACAGUCUAUGAAAACCCAUUAAUAUGAAGCUGGAUUUGUGCAAUGCUAAUGUUCCAAAGCAUAAGUUUUCAAAUCUCCCAGCAUACUAAUAUUGUUUAGAAGUCAUAACAUAAUAUUCCUCAAGUAAUUGUGCAAAAAUUACGCUUUAUUAAUCGAUACUCUGUAAAUCUGUGUGAAAAGGAAUAAAAGGUGUCAGAGUUUUACUGCCUCUAGUAUU
ensembl:lncRNA